rnacentral:lncRNA from 1 species
AUGCUUGUGGGUAGAUCUUCAGCUGGAGUAAUUCAGCCCUGCUCGCUGUAUCAAUAUACAGCAGGCAGCGAUCAUCUUCCAGCGGAGAUGCACGAACUUCAGAAAGUUUCAUUUCUUCAUUUGAAUAAAAAGAGAAAAAAAGAUCCCUUUGCAACAUCAACAAACAGUCAAGCAGCUACACUGUCCCCACACACAGCUACGCUCGAGGAACCACCAUCUGAACGUCCCGAACCCCAAAACGUAGCCACCUGCCCAGACUCCAGGGCAGCAGAGUCUUAUCGACUGCUGUCACCGAAGGUGCUGAGCAGAGACUGGGACAAAGUGCCGGAGUCACGGACUCCCAGAGACCGCAGGACAAAGCAACAGCUACUCACUGCCUGCUUGCUGCGCGGUGCCGUGUUAGUUAAAUGCUGACACUACUUAAUGUCCGUCUGAUACACGGAAGACCUGCGGCAACUGCUGAUGAAUGCAGUUGCAGGAUGGCCCAGGUUAGAUCUCAGCCUCCUGCCGUGAUCCAGCUACCAACGGCCAUCUGGAUCGGUGAGGACGCCACCGGCGACACGUGCGAGGUCCCACGUGGUCCACGCUGGCAGUGGCGAGAGAGAGCGGCACACCGCGCACGCGUGGGGUCCCGUCACUACCUCCUGGCUGCCAUCCAUCUCCUGCACAAUCUGGAGGCCAUCAGGUCAGGCUGGGCAACGGGUCCGCCGGCUCCCCACGGGGCAGCACGGGCCAACAGCGGCCCCUCUCCACCACCCGCAGUGAAAGCUCAGGGGAACCAGCCUGCCUCGGCCACAGUCAGAUAUUUUGGAUAGAGGACGACCCUGCGCCUUUGAAACCAAGGUGCUUUGGAAGCUGAACUUUCUUCCUACAAAGAAAUCAAAAAUCCUUCACCUCUCACCCCUGCCACUUCCAGCAUUUUUGCUGCCUGGAACAAAUUGCUAUUGUUGUUUUCCUGUGGAAAGGAGCAGUUUAGCCCAAAUGAUUUAGAAAUAUCACCAUUUGCCUCCUUCCCUACAGAUGGCAAACUCUUUGGUUUCUGCCACCACUAAACAUACAAAUAAAUCAUCGAGAUAUGAUCUGCUAACA